rnacentral:rRNA from 1 species
GAUCGGCUAACUCCGUGCCAGCAGCCGCGGUAAUACUGAGGAUCCAAGCGUUAUCCGGAUUUAUUGGGUUUAAAGGGUGCGUAGGCGGCCUGGUAAGUCAGGGGUGAAAGACGGUAGCUUAACUAUCACACUGCCUUUGAUACUGAUGGGCUUGAAUGUACUGGAGGUAAGCGGAAUGUGACAAGUAGCGGUGAAAUGCAUAGAUAUGUCACAGAACACCAAUUGCGAAGGCAGCUUACUAUGGUAUUAUUGACGCUGAGGCACGAAAGCGUGGGGAUCAAACAGGAUUAGAUACCCUGGUAGUCCACGCCCUAAACGAUGAAUACUCGAUGUUAGCGAUAUACAGUUAGCGUCUAAGCGAAAGCGUUAAGUAUUCCACCUGGGGAGUACGCCCGCAAGGGUGAAACUCAAAGGAAUUGACGG